AUUAGUGGCGGACGGGUGAGUAACAUUUAGGAAUCUACCUAGUAGUGGGGGAUAGCUCGGGGAAACUCGAAUUAAUACCGCAUACGACCUACGGGUGAAAGGGGGCGCAAGCUCUUGCUAUUAGAUGAGCCUAAAUCAGAUUAGCUAGUUGGUGGGGUAAAGGCCCACCAAGGCGACGAUCUGUAACUGGUCUGAGAGGAUGAUCAGUCACACCGGAACUGAGACACGGUCCGG
rnacentral:rRNA from 1 species